UGGGAGCACUGGGAGCGGGGAGCAAGGGUGAAGGCUGCACUGGGAGCACUGGGAGCAGGUCCUAGGCCAUGGCUGGUGCGUAGCCCCUCCCCCACUGGACAGGACCCUCGGACACGCUGAGCCAGACCCGGAAGGGAGCGAUGAUUGGCUGCCAGGCGAGAGGCGCGCUGUGAUUGGC